AACGCGAAGAACCUUACCGGGGCUUGACAUGCCGGGUAAAGCCGUGGAAACACGGUGCUCCUUCGGGAGCCGGCACAGGUGCUGCAUGGCUGUCGUCAGCUCGUGCCGUGAGGUGUUGCCUUAAGUGGCGCAACGAGCGCAACCCCUGUUCCAUGUUGCCAGCGGGUGAUGCCGGGGACUCAUGGGAGACUGCCGGUGCCAAACCGGAGGAAGGUGGGGAUGACGUCAAGUCAGCAUGGCCCUUAUGCCCUGGGCUGCACACAUGCUACAAUGCGCGGUACAGAGGGCAGCGAACCCGCAAGGGGGAGCGAAUCCCAAAAAGCCGUGCUCAGUUCGGAUCGGGGUCUGCAACUCGACCCCGUGAAGUCGGAGUCGCUAGUAAUCGCGGAUCAGCAACGCCGCGGUGAAUACGUUCCCGGGCCUUGUACACACCG
rnacentral:rRNA from 1 species